rnacentral:misc_RNA from 1 species
AAGUCGUAACAAGGUUUCCGUAGGUGAACCUGCGGAAGGAUCAUUAACAAAUCCAAUAAUUGUUGAUAGCAAUAUCAUCAAAUAUUAAACCGCUGGCCCGUUAGGGCUAGUUGGAUAUAUAUGCGUGUUAUGUUGACAGUGUGUGUGACUUAAAAUUAUUGACAA